GACGAACGCUGGCGGCGUGCUUAACACAUGCAAGUCGAGCGGUAAGGCCCUUUCGGGGGUACGACGAGCGGCGAACGGGUGAGUAACACGUGGGUGACCUGCCCUCAGCUCUGGGAUAAGCCUGGGAAACCGGGUACUAAUACUGGAUAUGACUCCAUGACGCAUGUUGUGGGGUGGAAAGCCUUGUGCGGCUGAGGAUGGGCCCGCGGCCUAUCAGCUUGUUGGUGGGGUGAGGCCUACCAAGGCGACGACGGGUAGCCGGCCUGAGAGGGCGACCGGCCACACUGGGACUGAGACACGGGCCCAGACUCCUACGGGAGGCAGCAGUGGGGAAGUCUUGCGCAAUGGGCGAAAGCCUGACGCAGCGACGCCGCGUGAGGGAU
rnacentral:rRNA from 1 species